GACGAACGCUGGCGGCGUGCUUAACACAUGCAAGUCGAACGGAAAGGCCCUGCUUUUGUGGGGUGCUCGAGUGGCGAACGGGUGAGUAACACGUGAGUAACCUGCCCUUGACUUUGGGAUAACUUCAGGAAACUGGGGCUAAUACCGGAUAGGAGCUCCUGCUGCAUGGUGGGGGUUGGAAAGUUUCGGCGGUUGGGGAUGGACGCGCGGCUUAUCAGCUUGUUGGUGGGGUAGUGGCUUACCAAGGCUUUGACGGGUAGCCGGCAUGAGAGGGUGACCGGCCACAUUGGGACUGAGAGACGGCCCAGACUCCUACGGGAGGCAGCAGGGGGGAAUAUUGCACAAUGGGCGGAAGCCUGAUGCAGCAACGCCGCGUGCGGGAUGACGGCCUUCGGGUUGUAAACCGCUUUCGCCUGUGACGAAGCGUGAGUGACGGUAAUGGGUAAAGAAGCACCGGCUAACUACGUG
rnacentral:rRNA from 1 species